rnacentral:rRNA from 1 species
UGGGGAAUAUUGCGCAGUGGGCGGAAGCCUGACGCAGCGACGCCGCGUGGGGGAUGACGGCCUUCGGGUUGUAAACCUCUUUCAGCAGGGACGAAGCGGAAGUGACGGUACCUGCAGAAGAAGCACCGGCCAACUACGUGCCAGCAGCCGCGGUAAUACGUAGGGUGCAAGCGUUGUCCGGAAUUAUUGGGCGUAAAGAGCUCGUAGGCGGUCUGUCGCGUCGGCUGUGAAAACCUGAGGCUCAACCUCAGGCCUGCAGUCGAUACGGGCAAACUAGAGUACUGCAGGGGAGACUGGAAUUCCUGGUGUAGCGGUGAAAUGCGCAGAUAUCAGGAGGAACACCGGUGGCGAAGGCGGGUCUCUGGGCAGUAACUGACGCUGAGGAGCGAAAGCGUGGGGAGCGAACA